UACGUAGGGUGCGAGCGUUUGUCCGGAAUUAUUGGGCGUAAAGAGCUCGUAGGCGGUGUGUCACGUCGAUCGUGAAAACUUUCAGCUUAACUGGGAGCUUGCGGUCGAUACGGGCAUCACUGGAGUUCGGCAGGGGGAGACUGGGAAUUCAAGGUGUAGCGGUGAAAUGCGCAGAUAUCUUGAGGAACACCGGUGGCGAAGGCGGGU
rnacentral:rRNA from 1 species